ensembl:antisense
GAGAGUGGCAAUCUCUUGACAGUUCAGUAGCACACAGGCUGACUUGGCCAAAUGGACUUGUGAAUGCAUGCAUUCGGACUGCAUAUUGCUACCAAAAUGGAAUGUGAGAAUAUGCUAUGCACCUCAGAAGAUGAGGCCCAGGACAUGGAGUUGUAGUAGAAAAGGCAUCUGCUUUUCAAAA